rnacentral:rRNA from 1 species
GCCUACGGGGCGCAGCAGUGGGGAAUAUUGGGCAAUGGGCGCAAGCCUGACCCAGCAACGCCGCGUGAAGGAUGAAGGUUUUCGGAUUGUAAACUUCUGUCGCGAGGGACGAAGAAUGACGGUACCUCGUAAGAAAGCCCCGGCUAACUACGUGCCAGCAGCCGCGGUAAUACGUAGGGGGCAAGCGUUGUCCGGAAUGACUGGGCGUAAAGGGAGUGUAGGCGGCAGCGCAAGUCUGGAGUGAAAUGCCGGGGCCCAACCCCGGAACUGCUUUGGAAACUGUGCAGCUCGAGUGCAGGAGAGGG